rnacentral:rRNA from 1 species
CGGAAUUAUUGGGCGUAAAGGGCUCGCAGGCGGUUUCUUAAGUCUGAUGUGAAAGCCCCCGGCUCAACCGGGGAGGGUCAUUGGAAACUGGGGAACUUGAGUGCAGAAGAGGAGAGUGGAAUUCCACGUGUAGCGGUGAAAUGCGUAGAGAUGUGGAGGAACACCAGUGGCGAAGGCGACUCUCUGGUCUGUAACUGACGCUGAGGAGCGAAARCGYGGSGAGCGAACAGGAUUAGAUACCCUGGUAGUCCACGCCGUAAACGAUGAGUGCUAAGUGUUAGGGGGUUUCCGCCCCUUAGUGCUGCAGCUAACGCAUUAAGCACUCCGCCUGGGGAGUACGGUCGCAAGACUGAAACUCAAAGGAAUUGACGGGGGCCCGCACAAGCGGUGGAGCAUGUGGUUUAAUUCGAAGCAACGCGAAGAACCUUACCAGGUCUUGACAUCCUCUGACAAUCCUAGAGAUAGGACGUCCCCUUCGGGGGCAGAGUGACAGGUGGUGCAUGGUUGUCGUCAGCUCGUGUCGUGAGAUGUUGGGUUAAGUCCCGCAACGAGCGCAACCCUUGAUCUUAGUUGCCAGCAUUCAGUUGGGCACUCUAAGGUGACUGCCGGUGACAAACCGGAGGAAGGGUGGGGGAUGACGUCAAAUCAUCAUGCCCCUUAUGACCUGGGCUACACACGUGCUACAAUGGACAGAACAAAGGGCAGCGAAACCGCGAGGUUAAGCCAAUCCCACAAAUCUGUUCUCAGUUCGGAUCGCAGUCUGCAACUCGACUGCGUGAAGCUGGAAUCGCUAGUAAUCGCGGAUCAGCAUGCCGCGGGUGAAUAC